UACGGGGGGGGCAAGCGUUGUUCGGAAUUACUGGGCGUAAAGGGCUCGUAGGUGGCCAACUAAGUCAGACGUGAAAUCCCUCGGCUUAACCGGGGAACUGCGUCUGAUACUGGAUGGCUUGAGUUCGGGAGAGGGAUGCGGAAUUCCAGGUGUAGCGGUGAAAUGCGUAGAUAUCUGGAGGAACACCAGUGGCGAAAGCGGACUUCUGGGUAGUUACUGACGCUGAGGUACGAAAGCGUGGGGAGCAAACGGG
rnacentral:rRNA from 1 species